GCGCAGCAGUCGCGAAACUUCACAAUGUGCGAAAGCACGAUGAGGGAAUCCCAAGUGCUUGCACGUAAGUGUAAGCUGUUUCUCUGUCUAAAACGCAGAGAGAGUAAGGGCUGGGUAAGACGGGUGCCAGCCGCCGCGGUAAUACCUGCAGCUCGAGUGGUGACCGUUAUUAUUGGGCCUAAAACGUCCGUAGCCGGUUUAAUAAAUGCCUGGGUAAAUCGGACCGCUUAACGGUUCGAAUUCCGGGUAGACUGUUAAACUUGAGACCGGGAGAAGUUAGAGGUACUCCUGGGGUAGAGGUGAAAUUCUGUAAUCCUAGGGGGACCACCAGUGGCGAAGGCGUCUAACUAGAACGGGUCUGACGGUGAGGGACGAAGCCCUGGGGCGCAAACGGGAUUAGAUACCCCUGUAGU
rnacentral:rRNA from 1 species